UCAAGUCCUAUUAUAUACAAUAGCCUAGUAAAAUAGUGUAUCUUGUCAGAAAUACUAAAAAUUUACUAGGUAUUUUAAAUUACAAAAAUGUGAGUUACUCAAAGGGUUAAAUGGAUGCAAUGACUCAGCAAAAGCUGCAAUUCAAUAUAAGCAGGUGUGCCUGUAGCUUAGUAGUCCUCAGUUUGAGGUAAGCCUCAGUGUGUGAGAAGGUCUCAGUGUGAGAAGCUUUGGUGAGAGAAGCCCCAGAUUGAAGGCCUCAGAGAUUAUGAGAACAUACUUACACCUUCUCCAGCGUCAGUAAAACGCUUUCUUCCAAGAAACAUCUAUUGAGGACAAACCUUUGACACCAGACUCUGAAGGACUGCAACAAAUAAAGAGGCUGAAGGAUGCUGGGCAAGAUCCAAUGGGAACCAGUAGAAGCUACCUGGUCGAUGAAAAGAGAUCUCCUGUGAGUGGGGGCAUAUCUACAGUAAGCAUUUAGGUUGG